CUUUAUCGUCAAAAUAAAUAUUUCAUCUUUUGCAUCAAUGUCUGCAGAUCUACACCAAUGGAGUUUUGGGAUGUUGAGUGAGACGAAUCGUCAUGUAUAAUCUGUGUGAAGCUAUGAUUGCGUUGUUUCAAAGAAAAAAAGAAGAAGCUAUGAUUGCGUCGUUUCAUCUUCGGUUCUAAUCUUCCGAAACGGUACGAGGUGUUGAUUCAUCGUCUUUAACAAAAGUCUUAACUCCAUCGAAGACUUCAAUCACGAUUUCACAUUCAAUGCUGCUUCUCCUCCUGGUGCGCGGUGUAUCUACACCUAUAAAAAGUGGCAAGCUGAUGGGCGUGGAUAUGCUUCUCCUCGAUUCUAAGGUUAUUCUGUUCCUAGAUUUGUAUUCUGGUCACGGAUGUUCCUCCUCGCGAUCUCUCUUCCUCACUUUCAUGGGCUUGAACGUUAGAUUGGGGAGCAGUUUGAUUUAAUUUCGAUCUGUGACAGUAACAAUGGUUGUGGCUGGUAUCAACAUGGAUGGAGGAGUUCCCGUGAUCGGAAUGGAGUACAGAACUAUCUCAGGUGUUGCAGUUCUCUUGGUCAUCAUUGAAAAAGUCAAGCGUACAUGAGAUUGCUAAUAUUCCCUUAGUAGAUGAAUCUAUCAGACGUGGUCAGAACCUGGAGGUUAAUGGGGGAGAAAGCAAUUGGCCAGCUAGAGUAGUUCCCAAACGUUAACAUAACAAAAACUACAUGGUUGAUUGUUCUCAAUCACCAUGGUACGAUUACCCUUAAUGUAAGGUGAAACCAUGAGAGUCAUGUAUGACCCGUGGGUCGCCAAUAACAAAGUAGAUGUUUUUUUCUCAAGUCAAGUCCACGCAUACGAGAGACCACUAAAAGAUCAAUCUGCUCCUGUCUAUAUCACGAUCGCUGAUGGAGGAAACAUUGAAGGAUUUGCUCCAAAUAUGUGAUAGGAUUUCUGUAGAAUGACUGAGCCUCAGCCCAAGUACUCUGCCACAGAGAAGCAAGCUUUGGACAUGCUAUAAUCCCGAUAAUGGAUGUAUGCGCAGUAUGAAUGGCACAGGAACAAGUUACGUCGUUGAGGCUGACCCCAUUCUCCUUCUUUUUUCUUGAGAACCUUAGAAUAACGAAAUAACAAAGUAUCAAAAUACCAGGUUAUGGUGAUAUAUGUUGUUGUAUGCAUUAUUUAUAAUUGAAUAACGAUAAAUAAAGGCAACGUGGGUUAGUUUU